CCUACGGGUGGCAGCAGUGAGGAAUAUUGGUCAAUGGGCGCGAGCCUGAACCAGCCAAGUCGCGUGAGGGAAGACGGUCCUAUGGAUUGUAAACCUCUUUUGUCGGGGAGCAAAAGACGCCACGCGUGGCGUUCCGCGCGUACCCGAAGAAAAAGCAUCGGCUAACUCCGGGCCAGCAGCCGCGGUAAUACGGAGGAUGCGAGCGUUAUCCGGAUGUAUUGGGUUAAAGGGGGGCGAAGGCGGAAGAUCAAGUCAGCGGUAAAAUUGAGGGGCUCAACCUCUUAGAGCCGUUGAAACUGUUUUUCUUGAGUGAGUGAGAAGUAUGCGGAAUGCGUGGUGUAGCGGUGAAAUGCAUAGAUAUCACGCAGAACUCCGAUUGCGAAGGCAGCAUACCGGCGCUCAACUGACGCUCAUGCACGAAAGUGUGGGUAUCGAACAGGAUUAGAUACCCGGGUAGUC
rnacentral:rRNA from 1 species